CCUACGGGUGGCAGCAGUGGGGAAUAUUGGACAAUGGGCGAAAGCCUGAUCCAGCCAUGCCGCGUGUGUGAAGAAGGCCUUCGGGUUGUAAAGCACUUUCAGUGGGGAAGAAAGCCUUGGGGCUAAUACCCUCGAGGAAGGACAUCACCCACAGAAGAAGCACAGGCUAACUCCGUGCCAGCAGCCGCGGUAAUACGGAGGGUGCGAGCGGUAAUCGGAAUUACUGGGCGGAAAGCGCGCGUAGGCGGUCUGAUAAGCCGGUUGUGAAAGCCCCGGGCUCAACCUGGGAACGGCAUCCGGAACUGUCAGGCUAGAGUGCAGGAGAGGAAGGUAGAAUUCCCGGUGUAGCGGUGAAAUGCGUAGAGAUCUGGAGGAAUACCAGUGGCGAAGGCGGCCUUCUGGACUGACACUGACGCUGAGGUGCGAAAGCGUGGGUAGCAAACAGGAUUAGAUACCCCAGUAGUC
rnacentral:rRNA from 1 species